AAUCCUAGCACUCAGGAGGCAGAGGCAAGCAGAUCUCUGGAACUUUGAGGCCAGCCUGGUCUACAUAGUAAGUUUCAGGCCCGCUAGGGCUAUGUAGAUAUACUCUGUCUCAAAACAAAAAUAAAAACAAAAACCAAGUACUUUCCUAUUUGCUAUCAUUCUUAGAUGCUGUGCAGCAGAGGCCGCCAUCAUUUCCACCCUAGGGAAGGAAUUAAAUUCUAAGAGAAGUGACUCAUCAAGACCCCACAGCCUAUGGGCUGGAACUUCCUUCACUGUGGCAGCUCAUGAGAGUAUUGGAUUGUUGCCAGUUUGACACAGUAUGUGAGACUAAAUUUGCCCAAAAACUACUAAGUAGGAGGGCUGAGGUUCAAAACCUGACUCAGGCUCCCGAGCACCAACUUGAUUCUCAAGAAUGGGUCAUCUUUGCUGAAUGAAUGUCAUGGAAAGAUUGGGGAUGAAGAUAGAGGGGAAGGGAGGAAUCUGUCUGUCUGUCUGUCUAUCAUCUAUCUUUAUCUAUCCAUCUGUCUGUGCAUCCAUCCAUUUGUCCAUUCAUCCAUAGAUCAUCUAUCUAAUCCAUCUGUCUGUCAGUCUGUCCAUCCAUCUGUCCACCCGCCCAUCCAUCUGUCCAUCCAUCCAUCCAUCAUCCAUCUAUCUUCUCUCUCUCUCUCUCUCUCUCUCUCCCCCUCCAUCCAUCCAUCUGUCCAUCCGUCCGCCCAUCUAUCUACCAAUCUAUCAUACUAGGAAAUGGUAGGAGGAGCAGAUGGUAGAAUUGCAGAGUAGAUGCAAUCAGUGUUUUCCCUGAAGGGAACCUGAGUGGUUGCUGACUGACUGAUUGAUACACCCUAGAGCUUAAACAUCUAUCCUGUCUCAGCCCCUGCUUUCUUCUGGAGAAAAUAAUCGGUAGGACAGAGCCUGAGUCUUUUCUGGCAGUGUGCUGGGAGGAUGACACUGGGUAUGUUAGCUUUGAGCUGCCUGGAGAGGAGGAGCCUGAGCUUCAGAUUGUCACUCUGAGAUGUCUAGGACAUCAACUAAAAAUAUUCAAGCAACCAUUUCUAGCGGCUCCAGUUCAGUUACAUCCUAUUUUAGGGGAGGAUAUUGGGAUGUUCAGAAAAACUGAAACCUGAGGUACUCCUCUCCUGAGACCUGAGGUGCUCCUCUCCUGAAUCCUUCCAGGUCCAGGCCACUUCAGUGGUUCCUGCUGUUACAUUCUCUUGGAGAGUCCCCGCAGCCUUCCCAGACACCCCGUGUCAGAAAAACCUUGCUAUAUAUUCCAAUAUACAAAGGUCACUUUCCUAGGUGGUGAAAAUAUAAUUGAGCAUUUGUUCUUCUCCCUGGGGGAAUGCCCAGAUGUCCUGCCCUUGAUCUUCAAGGCUGGUUCUCUGAGUCAAAGCAUCGCAGGCAUCCCUGCCCUUCCAAAGAGCCUCCUUGAAGCCUGCCUCCUAGCAUAGCUGUAGCCAUUUUGUUCCAUGCCUGCAAACUAUUUCAUAUUGUUGCUGUAAUAUACCUGCCAGUAGUUGAUGCACAGAAAUAACUUAGAGCAGAGUCAUGCUGACCAUGUACCCUGUUAUGUUCUGUAUGUUAUGAGGUUUGUUAAUCUUAAGAAAUUCCGCAACCAUAUGCUUCACUUAGGAACCAUCAAAUUAAAGGUCACUAUGAACGGUUAUGUCUGAAACAGCUUGAGUCAGGGCUGACUGCCGGGCGGCGCUUCCAGCACCUGUGUGUGAGCUCACUGUGGCUUUUGCACUUUUAGCCUUUAGAAGCUGGCCUUGUGAAAUGUUCGGGGUUGUAGC
rnacentral:lncRNA from 1 species